GGAUUGUGGCUCAGAGGUAGAGCACUUGCCUAGCAUGUGCAAGGCCCUGGGUUCGAUCCUCAGCACCA
rnacentral:tRNA from 1 species